rnacentral:rRNA from 1 species
GGUGAACGCUGGCGGCGUGCCUAACACAUGCAAGUCGAGGGGCAUCGCGGUGCAGCAAUGCACUGGCGGCGACCGGCGUACGGGUGCGUAACGCGUAUGCAACCUGCCCCGCACCGGGGGAUAGCCCGCCGAAAGGCGGAUUAAUACCCCAUGGUCCCGGGGGCCCGCAUGGGCAUCCGGGUAAAGCCUUGGCGGUGCGGGAUGGGCAUGCGUGCCAUUAGCUGGCUGGUGGGGUAACGGCCCACCAGGGCAACGAUGGCUAGGGGGUCUGAGAGGAUGGUCUCCCACACUGGUACUGAGACACGGACCAGACUCCUACGGGAGGCAGCAGUGAGGAAUAUUGGUCAAUGGGCGGAAGCCUGAACCAGCCAUGCCGCGUGCGGGAUGAAGGCCCUACGGGUUGUAAACCGCUUUUCCCCGGGAAGAAUAACCCCGAUGAGUCGGGGAUGCCGGUACCGGGGAAUAAGGAUCGGCUAACUCCGUG